rnacentral:rRNA from 1 species
GAUCCCUGGCUCAGGACGAACGCUGGCGGCAUGCCUAAUACAUGCAAGUCGAGCGGAGUAAGAAUGGAAGCUUGCUUCCAUUCUUACUUAGCGGCGGACGGGUGAGUAACACGUAGGCAACCUGCCCUCAAGACUGGGAUAACUACCGGAAACGGUAGCUAAUACCGGAUAAUUUCUUUCCUCUCCUGAAGAGAGAAUGAAAGGCGGAGCAAUCUGCCACUUGGGGAUGGGCCUGCGGCGCAUUAGCUAGUUGGUGGGGUAACGGCUCACCAAGGCGACGAUGCGUAGCCGACCUGAGAGGGUGAACGGCCACACUGGGACUGAGACACGGCCCAGACUCCUACGGGAGGCAGCAGUAGGGAAUCUUCCGCAAUGGGCGAAAGCCUGACGGAGCAAUGCCGCGUGAGUGAUGAAGGUUUUCGGAUCGUAAAGCUCUGUUGCCAGGGAAGAACGUCCGGUAGAGUAACUGCUACCGGAGUGACGGUACCUGAGAAGAAAGCCCCGGCUAACUA